UGGGAGAGCCUCAAUGGUUUAUUUAUUU
rnacentral:piRNA from 1 species